rnacentral:ncRNA from 1 species
GAACCAGGGGAGCCGGUUGUCCGGCUGAGAGGAAGCAAUGGAACUUCGACCCUUUUAACCUGAUGUGGGUAAUGCCAACGUAGGAAGACGAAAAG